UACAAGACAUGGGUGUUCUCUGUGU
rnacentral:piRNA from 1 species